AACGAACGCUGGCGGCAUGCCUAACACAUGCAAGUCGAACGAGACCUUCGGGUCUAGUGGCGCACGGGUGCGUAACGCGUGGGAACCUGCCCUUAGGUUCGGAAUAACUCCCCGAAAGGGGUGCUAAUACCGGAUAAUGUCUUCGGACCAAAGAUUUAUCGCCUUUGGAUGGGCCCGCGUUGGAUUAGCUAGUUGGUAGGGUAAAAGCCUACCAAGGCGACGAUCCAUAGCUGGUCUGAGAGGAUGAUCAGCCACACUGGGACUGAGACACGGUCCAGACUUCUACGAGAGGCAGCAGUGUGGAAUAUUGGACAAUGGGCGAAAGCCUGAUCCAGCGAUGCCGCGUGAGUGAUGAAGGCCUGAGGGUUGUAAAGCUCUUUUACCCGGGAUGAUAAUGACAGCACCGGGAGAAUAAGCUCCGGCUAACUCCG
rnacentral:rRNA from 1 species